CAGAGCUUAGAGGUGACGUUGGGCGGCCUCCUCACCCCAUACAAGCCAUAGGGUGUCCUGUUCUUGAAGGUAUCGAGGAAGGUCUUGGUCUGGGCGUAUAGCUGCGGAAAUCCGUCUGUGGAGCGAAGAGUGUCAGGUGCUGGUGGUGGAGGAAAAAUGUGUGUGUGUGUGUGUGUGAGGAAGACAGGAGGGACUAGAGAAGAAAAGGAAAAAAAGAAAGGAAGAGAGAAAUGAAAAGAAGAAAGAAAGGAAAUUGGAAGGUAUGUGUUUGUUUGUGUGUGUGUGUGUGUGUGUGUGUUCAUGCUCCGGAAAGGUUGAGAGUGCCACCAAACCACCACCACCACCACCACCACCACCACUACCACCACCACCACAGCCACCACCACCACCAGGGAAAUGGACGAUGCAAGGAAAGUGGAUAAAUGAAGAUGGGAAUUGAAUGAAAGGAAGAGGAGAUAGGAAGAGGAAGAGGAAGAGGAGGAGGAGGAGGAAGAUUUAGAAGAGGCAUGCAUGAGAAAAAUCACUCACAGAAAAAAAACAAAAAAUAAAAA